AGGAAGAGAAAGAAAUUCGAUUCCGUAAGUAGCGGCGAGCGAACGCGGAUUAGCCCAAACCAAUAAAGUUUUCUUUAUUGGGGUUGCGGACAUAUCAUAACGGAGAGGUAUCGUAAUUGAAGAGGUUUGGAAAGACCCACCACAGAAGGUAAUAGUCCUGUAUGUUAAACGAGAAUACUUUAGAUAUGAUCCAGAGUACCACGGGACACGUGAAACCCUGUGGGAAGCAGGAGGGACCACCUUCCAAGGCUAAAUACUACCUAGUGACCGAUAGCGUAUAGUACCGUGAGGGAAAGGUGAAAAGAACCCCGGGAGGGGAGUGAAAUAGAACCUGAAACCCUGCA
rnacentral:rRNA from 1 species